GGGGGAGUAUGGUCGCAAGGCUGAAACUUAAAGGAAUUGACGGAAGGGCAGCACCAGGAGUGGAGCCUGCAGCUUAAUUUAACUCAACACGGGGAAACUUACCAGGUCCAGACAUAGUAAGGAUUGACAGACUGAGAGCUCUUUCUUGAUUCUAUGGGUGGUGGUGCAUGGUCGUUCUUAGAUGGUGGAGCGAUUUUUCUGGUUAAUUCCGUUAACGAACGAGACCUCAGCCUGCUAACUAGCUACGUGGAGGCAUCCCUUCACGGCCUGCUUCUUAGAGGCACUAUGGCCGUUUGGGCCAAGGAAGUUUGAGGCAAUAACAGGUCUGUGAUGCCCUUAGAUAAUCUGGGCCGCAUGCGCGCUACACUUAUGUAUUCAACGAGUUCACACCUUGGCCCGACAGGCCUGGGUAAUCUUUGAAAUUUCAUUGUGAUGGGGAUAGAUCAUUGCAAUUGUUGGUCUUCAACGAGGAAUUCCUAGUAAGCACGAGUCAUCAGCUCGCGUUGCCUACAUCCCUGCCCUUUCUACACACCGCCCGUCGCUCCUACCGAUUGAAUGAGAUCAUUUAGAGGAAGGAUAGAUAAUUGCAAUUGGUGGUUUGCUGUCUGCGACGUCGCGAAAAGUCCACUAAACCUUAUCAUUUAGAGGAAGGAGAAGUCAUAACAAGAUUUCCGUAGGUGAACCUGUGGAAG
rnacentral:ncRNA from 2 species